CCAAUCGAACCCGGAGAUAGCUGGUUCUCCUCGAAAUAGCUUUAGGGCUAGCCUCGAUUUAGUCUUAUGGAGGUAGAGCACUGAAUUUCCGCGGGGGCGUCAAAGCUUACCAAAGAAUAUCAAACUCCGAAUGCCAUGUAGAUGAUGAACGGGAGUCAGACUGCACGAGAUAAGUUGGGUGGUCAAAAGGGAAAGAGCCCAGACCUACAGCUAAGGUCCCAAAGUGCGUGUUAAGUGGAAAAGGAUGUGGGAUUUCGAAGACAACUAGGAUGUUGGCUCAGAAGCAGCCAUACAUUCAAAGAGUGCGUAAUAGCUCACUAGUCGAGAGGUCCUGCGCCGAAAAUGUCCGGGGCUGAAACACGACACCGAAGCCGUGGACUCGCAAUGCGAGUGGUAGAGGAGCAUUCUUAAAACCGACGAAGCUGUACCGAAAGGAGCAGUGGAGGGAUAAGAAGAGAGAAUGCCGGAAUGAGUAGCGAGAGAAAGGUGGGAAUCCUUUCGGCCGAAUAUCUAAGGUUUCCAGAGUAAAGCUGAUCUGCUCUGGGUAAGUCGGGGCCUAAGCACAGGUCGCAAGACGUAAGCGAUGGAUAACAGGUUUAGAUUCCUGUACCACGCAUUAUCAGAACUGUAGGGACGCAUGUGGAAAGCACGAGCCGGGAAUGGAAAGACCGGUACAAGCGGGGUAGGUGUACAAUAGGCAAAUCCGUUGUAUAAUCCGAAGACGUGAUGUGGAGCGAAAUAAAGUAGCAAAGCGUGUGAGCCAUGUGCCGAGAAAAGCUGCUAUUGUGUAAUGCGUGCCCGUACCGUAAACCGACACAGGUGGAUGAGGAGAGAAUCCUAAGGCCGACGGAAGAAGCAUUGUUAAGGAACUCGGCAAAAUGACCCCGUAACUUCGGGAGAAGGGGUGCCUGCGAGAGCAGGCCGCAGAGAAUAGGCUCAAGCAACUGUUUAGCAAAAACACAGGUCUAUGCGAAACCGAAAGGUGAAGUAUAUGGGCUGACGCCUGCCCGGUGCUGGAAGGUUAAGAGGAGAGGUUAGCGCAAGCGAAGCUUUGAAUUUAAGCCCCAGUAAACGGCGGCCGUAACUAUAACGGUCCUAAGGUAGCGAAAUUCCUUGUCGGGUAAGUUCCGACCCGCACGAAAGGCGUAAUGAUUUGAGCACUGUCUCGACAAUGCAUCCGGUGAAAUUGAAGUACCAGUGAAGAUGCUGGUUACCCGCGCCAGGACGGAAAGACCCCAUGGAGCUUUACUCCAGUUUGAUACUGGGAUUCGGUACUGCAUGUACAGGAUAGGUGGGAGACGGAGAAGGAUGGACGCCAGUCUGUCCGGAGUCGCUGUUGGGAUACCACCCCUGUAGUACUGGGUUUCUAACCAGUUGCCAUGAACUGGCAAUGGGACAAUGUCAGGCGGGGAGUUUGACUGGGGCGGUCGCCUCCGAAAGGGUAUCGGAGGCGCUCAAAGGUUCCCUCAGAAUGGUUGGAAACCAUUCGAAGAGUGCAAAGGCAGAAGGGAGCUUGACUGCGACACCGACGGGUGGAGCAGGUACGAAAGUAGGACUUAGUGAUCCGGUGGUAUAAAGUGGGAUUGCCAUCGCUCAACGGAUAAAAGCUACCCUGGGGAUAACAGGCUUAUCACUCCCAAGAGUUCACAUCGACGGAGUGGUUUGGCACCUCGAUGUCGGCUCAUCGCAUCCUGGGGCUGUAGUAGGUCCCAAGGGUUGGGCUGUUCGCCCAUUAAAGCGGUACGCGAGCUGGGUUCAGAACGUCGUGAGACAGUUCGGUCCCUAU
rnacentral:rRNA from 1 species